rnacentral:rRNA from 1 species
UACGGGGGUAGCAAGCGUUGUUCGGAUUUACUGGGCGUAAAGGGCGCGUAGGCGGCCAGCUCAAUUCAGUUGUGAAAUCUCCGAGCUUAACUCGGAACUGUCAGCUGAUACUGUUUUGCUAGAGUGCGGAAGGGGCAAUCGGAAUUCUUGGUGUAGCGGUGAAAUGCGUAGAUAUCAAGAGGAACACCUGAGGUGAAGACGGGUUGCUGGGCCGACACUGACGCUGAGUGCGCGAAAGCCAGGGGAGCAAACGGG